rnacentral:rRNA from 1 species
AUGACGAUCAUUAGCUGGAACUGUCGGGGCCUGGGGCAGCCCCGAACAGUUCAGGAGCUCGUGUGCCUAGUGCGCACGUACUGUCCUUCGAUCGUCUUCAUCUCUGAAACUAGGAAAAGCGAGGAGUAUGUAAAUAAACUUCGUAGGAGACUAGGUCUCAAGCACUGUAUUUCCCAUGUUGGAAAAGGGAAGGGUGCAGGAAUCACUCUCUUCUAUGAUGAGCAAGUUGAAAUAAAAAAGCUCGCUGUUGGCCCCCGUUACAUUGAUGUGUUAAUUCGUCUCAAUCCCCAUGGUCGCCAAUGGCGGGGUACUUUUGUUUAUGGUGAACCAAAUGCCAACGAGAGGCACCACAUGUGGGAUCUCCUGCGUAGAAUCAAACCAGCAUCCAAUGAACCUUGGCUUAUGAUAGGAGAUUUUAAUGAAACUGCUUGGCAACAUGAACACUUCUCCAAAACACAUAGGAAUGAAAGAAACAUGGUGAAUUUCAGAGAAGUUCUAGCUGAUUGUAGGUUGCUGGACCUCGGUUUCAAAGGGCCUAAAUGGACAUACGACAACAAGCAGGAUGGAGGGAACAAUGUAAAGGCAAGAAUAGACAGGGGUGUGGCAGACCUACAAUGGAGUUCAAUAUUCCCGAAUGCAUCGAUCGAGCAUAUAUGCUCUUCCAGAUCUGAUCACCUCCCUUUGUUACUUAGGUUUGGAUAG